UUGCUUCGGCAGCAAAUACACUAAAAUUACAAUGAUAGACAGAAGAUUAACAAGGCCGCUGUGCAAGGAUGAUGAUAUGCAAAUUCGUGAAGCGUUCCACAUUUUU